AAGUAGAUAGAGUGAUUUCGUCUUACAGUCCCUGUGGAUACGAUAUCCGAUUGCUGUUUAUACUACGAUUACACCGUGUUAGUUGCAUCAACUUUUUGGCGCCGUUGCCGGGGAUUGUUUAGAUUUUGCUUUAAUAUUUCCAAUAGGACUUAAUAGUACUGCAAGUUUUAUUUGUUUUUAUUUUUGUUUUCUAACUUUUAUAAGUUGUGUUUCUGUAGGUUGCAUAUGAACACAAGAUCUCACGGAAAUCCUCUCGUUGAGUUUGAUCCUGAAAUCAACAAGACCCUGCGCAAUCUAAAGAAGCAGAACGAUCAAUUUGAGGCAGAUACGAUGGCUACUCCUGAGCAAAUCCAAAUUCGAGCUCUGCAAGAGCAAUUGAAGAAGCUGCUUGAUGCACAGGAGACGAGAGAGGCUCAGAAACAACCAGCAAUCAAUGAAGCGUUCAUACCACAGUAUGUGUACCAGGAGCCCCCAAGAGUGAACGUCAACAACUUUGAGCUGAAAACGGGUCU
rnacentral:lncRNA from 1 species